UUUCGCAAUGCCCGAAAGGGUGACGAAGCGACGCCGCGUGUGGGAAGAAGGCCUUCGGGUUGUAAACCACUGUCGGGAGUUAGGAAAUGCAGGUGCGUUAAUAGCGCACUUGCUUGACUAAGGCUCCAGAGGAAGUCACGGCUAACUCUGUGCCAGCAGCCGCGGUAAUACAGAGGUGGCAAGCGUUGUUCGGAAUUAUUGGGCGUAAAGAGCACGUAGGUGGGUUUGUAAGUCAGAUGUGAAAGCCUCCUGUUCAACGGGAGAAUUGCAUCUGAAACUACUGAUCUUGAGUAUAGGAGGGGAGAAUGGAACUUCUGGUGGAGCGGUGAAAUGCGUAGAUAUCAGAAGGAACGCCGGCGGCGAAAGCGAUUCUCUGGCCUAUUACUGACACUCAGUGUGCGAAAGCUAGGGGAGCAAACGGGAUUAGAUACCCCGGUAGUCCUAGCCGUAAACGAUGGGCACUAAGUAGAGGGGUUUU
rnacentral:rRNA from 1 species